rnacentral:pre_miRNA from 1 species
UAUAUACUCCCUCCGUCCUGAAAUACUUGUUUUAGAUUUGUCUAGAUAUAAAUGUAUCUAGUCACGUUUUAGUAUUUUGAUACAUCUAUUUUUAGACAAACCUAAGACAAGAAUUUUGGAACGGAGGGAGUAUUUG